GUUGUGUUAGGAAGGAGGACGGGAAUGGUAAAUGCUGACGCUACAGGCGGCAGUCUGUGCCUCAGAGAGAAAAUUUAUCCCAACCUUGCUGGGGGCCUUGACGCCCAUCUUCCUCCAGAGCACCCCGACAGUCACCCCGCCCUCUGGUGUCCUCCCACCCCGAGCCCGAUCUUCCCCCUUCACGCCUGCCCCGGGCCAAUAGCCUCCUAACUGCGUCCUCUCUGAUUGCGUGUGUCGUGCUCAUUACGCCCUAUCCGUCGUUUCUUCGCUCCACAAACGUUUACUGAGCGCCUUCAACUUGCCAGGCACUAAUUAGACUAGCGCAGAGAAACGGGGAUAAGUACUGAUGAGGGUCCCAGCCCUCAGCGAUCGGAUUUCAGAGGGGGAGAUAAAGGACUGCCCAGAAGGGUGGUGAGUGGAGUAGUUGAUAUAAACAACGAGGUGCGAUGAAAUACACAGGAGGGCUGCUAAUCACAUAUGGGGUGGGUGCCGAGGGCCCUUAAUUAAGGGAGGCUUCCUGGACGGGUGACACCCAAGCGGAGUCCUGACGACCCGCGUCAGAAGUAGUCAGGCGAGGAGGAGGGUAAAGGAAUCCACGUCCCAAGCAGAGAAGCAGCUUUCCCUACACAGCACAGGACACGGUCCGCGCACAGAAGCCGCAGGAGACGCAGGCACAGGGGCUGGGGAGAAUCCUUGCUGGGCCCUCGCCGUCCAUGCGCCGCCUCCCUCUGCCCGGUGUCUGGUGUCAGCCUCCUGCCUGGCAGAGGAACUCCAGCCCCUGCUCCCCGAAGCUCCUCCAGGCCUUCUGCUUCCCUGACUCGGAAUGGGCCCGCUGUCCAGUGGGUACAAGGCUGGUCUCCCCGCCCACUGGUGACGACGUAAAGAUCCAGCUCAGCCUGGUUUCCCCUGGUGAUGAUAUCUUGCGACUCGUCUUUCUCCAGGAAAACAGGGACCGCUCUCCGCCUACAGGUCUCUUCCACAGACCUAUCUUGUUUUCACCCCCUGUCUCUUUUGGUUCAGUCUUUUCGCUCAUACAAACAAGGAAGUCGCCCCUAGCCCAGCCGCGGCUCCUUAGCUGGAGGCGGGCCCGGGGGUGGAGUCAACCGCGGUGGCCACGCCUCCUGGGAAAGGGCAGGGCAUGCAAAUUCGAAAUGAAAGCCCGGAAACCCCGGAACUAGAACUGGUAUGGAGUCUCACUCUGUCGCCCAGGCUGGAGUGUAGUAGCGCAAUCUUGGCUCACUGCAACCUCGGACUCCCAGGUUCAAGAGAUUCUCCUGCAUCAGCCUCCCAAGUAGCUGGGACUACAGGCACGUGCCACCACGCCCGGCUAAUUUUUGUAUUUUUAAUAGAGACGGGGUUUCUCCGUGUUAUCCAGAAUGGUCUCGAUCUCCUGACCUCGUGAUCCACCUGCCUCGGCCUCCUAAAGUGCUGGGAUUACAGGCGUGAGUCACCGCGCCCGGCACGCCCGGCUAAUUUUUUUGUAUUUUUAGUAGAGAUGGGGUUUCACCGUGUUCCCCAGGCUGGUCUCGAGCUCCUGAGUCGAGACGGGAUUUCUCCGUGUUUGCCAGAAUGGUCUUGAUCUCCUGACCUUGUGAUCCACCCGCCUCGGCCUCCCAAAGUGUUAGGAUUACUGGCGUGAGCCACUGCGCCCGGCAGAUUUUUCUUUUAAAACGUGGAGAAUAAGAAAUCAGCCCGAGUGUGUAAUGGCGUCAAUAUUGGUGUGGACAAGACAAAGUGAAUGAGAUCUCUUCAACUACCUGUGAAAACUGAUGUGAUGAAAAGGGGAAUUUGAAGGAGCCAUUCCAGAAGACAGGGCGAAAACUGAAGUGCAAUCAGGGCCAAGAAAAACAGAAAUAGCAGGACCUGGAGUUGCAUAGGUUGAAUAGUUGAAUAGGCUGCUCUCCUCAGCUGGCAGGAAACCUGGCAGCCUCCUGGUGCCCAAGGACUGAAAACCUUAGAAGCACCUGGAGUUGGCAGCCUUGGCAUGGUCAGGUUGGCACCUCUGGAGGUGCCCAGGCUUCCCUGGCAGCAUUGUGAGCAGUGGAUGGUGUUGAAGGGCAGCCAGAGGAGGAAUGGAACACAUGCUCCUUGCUAACCACACGGACAAGGCCACGUUCACAGGUACACAAAGGCAACGCAGUUGCUCAGGUGCUUCGGUAUCACAGCCAAGACCCCUUCGGGGGAAGCUAGUCGGAUACUGGGACCCACAUUCCAGACUACUGAGCCGCGGUCGCGCCCUCGGCUCCGUUUCUGCUCCCUCCACCCCACGAGGACGGGGGUGGAAGGCCACCUUCGAUGGGUGCAUCCUCCACGAUGACCUGCUAACAAAGGUGCAUGGAUUUCAGAGUCUGAUUGGCCUACAACAGCAUUUGGCUUGUGGAGACAGUGGUUCCCUGAUGAAAAACUGCCAUGAUGUAAGGAAGAGCCUGUCAGAGCGAGGCUGGGGUGCUGCGUGUUGGGGAGGUGGAGGUGUGGCUUCCCGGGAGAAGCUCCACCCGCUGGCUGAGUCUGGCACAUAAACCAGUCUGUGAGGGGAUGGAUGUGGGUGUAAUGGGGGCAAUUACAGUAGGAAGGAGCCCACGUGGAGCCUGCAUUCUCUGGGACAGGGCAUUACUGCAUUCUCUGGGACAGGCUAAGGCCCAGAUCCUACCUUCCCAGGUGGCUGGAUGGGUCAUAGAUGUAUGAACCGGUCCCCUCAUUUUCUGAUUGCCCUGUGCUUAACGUUUCUGUACCUUUACUGAGGCUCUUUCCUCCAACUCCAGUGCCCAGACCCCCCUUCUCCUGAACAUGAAUGCCUGUCCAUGGAAAUUCGAGUCUCUCUCUCUCACCCAGGCUGGAGUGCAGUGAUGCAAUCUCAACUCACUGCAACCUCUGCCUCCCAGGUUCAAGUGAUUCUUGUGCCUCAGCCUCUGGAGUAUCUAGGAUCACAGGUGCGUGCCACCAUGUCUGGCUAAUGUUUUGUAUUUAUAGUAGAGAUGGGUUUCGACAUAUUGGCCAGGCUGGUCUUGAUCUCCUGGCCUCAAAGUGAUCUACCCACCUGGGCCUCCCAAAUUGCUGGGAUUACAGUUGUGAGCCACCACACCCAGCCUGUCCCUGAAAUUCUAAUGAAAUGUGCGAUAAAGUUGUUUUGUUUUUCUUUUUGUUUUCCCUUCUUGGCAAAGCCUGGUGUUUCUAUUUUAGUGGAUUUGCCUGGCACUGAGGACUGCUAUGGUGGUCUUCAGAGGCUCCUGGUAUUGACUGCUUGUGAAACCGCUUUUGCAAAAUUAUGACUGAGACAGUGAAAGAGAUCUAACUUAACCGACCCAAUCUUGCUUCUAACCUCCAAAUUGUCCUUAUUCAUUCCUGAGCAUAGCCUGAACUAACUUUGGGAGAAGCUUAGUUUAUAUUUUAUUUUAUAGUUUAAAACAAAGAUGUUAACAGCCCUUUCCCAAGGCAGACUUCCUUCUUGCCUGGGGACUAGGUUGCCUUUGGAGGACUAACAUUAGCCACGAGAUUAGAAAUUAUGGGCUGGGCCUCGUGGCUCACCCCUGUAAUCCCAGCACUUUGGGAGGCCACGGCAGGUAGAUCACCUGAGGUCAGGAGUUCAAGACCAGCCUGGCCAACGUGGUGAAACCCCAUCUCUACUAAAGAAUACAAAAAUUAGCCGGUUAUGGUGGCACAUGCCUAUACUGCCAGCUACUUGGGAAGCUGAGGUGGGAGGAUCGCUUGAACCUGGGAGGCGGCGUGGAGGUUGCAGUGAGCCAGGAUCUUGCCACUGCACUCCAGCUUGGGCGACAGAGUGAGACUCUGUCUCAAAAAAAAAAAGUUUAGAAAUUAUGCUUUAGGAGUCAUGCAGCUGGAGGCUACAAGAUUCUGACCCUCCCUAAACUGCUCCUAAGAUCAGUGCUUGAGAUAUUUUGCAGACCCUGCACUUGAUGGAUCAGCUGGCACCACCCAGACUGAUUAACUGGCUCAUGUGAUCUUGUGGUCCCCACCCAGGAACUUAAUCAGCACAAGGAGACAGCUUCAACUCCCUAUGAUUUCAUCCCUGACCAAUCAGCACUCCUGGGCUCACUGGCUUCCCCCUACCCACCAAGUUGUCCUUAAAAAGUCUGCUCCCCAAAUGCUCGGGUAGACUGAUUUGGGUAAUAAUAAAACUCCGGUCUCCCACACAGCCAGCCCUGCGUGAAUUACUCUUUCUUUUUUGAGAUGGAGUUUCACUUUCGUUGCCCAGGCUGGAGUGCAAUGGCAGGAUCUUGGCUCACAGCAUCCUCCGCCUCUCAGGUUCAAGCGAUUCUCCUGCCUCAGCCUCCCCAAUAGCUGGGAUUAUAGGCACGUGCCACCACGCCCGGCUAAUUUUUGGUAUUUUUAGUACAGACAGGGUUUCACUGUGUUGGCCAGGUUGGUCUCAAACUCCUGACCUUAGGUGAUUCACCUGCCUUGGCCUCCCAAAGUGCUGGGAUUACAGGUGUGAGCCACUGCACCCAGCCAAAUUACUCUUUCUCUAUUGCAAUUCCCCUGUUCUGAUGAAUCAGCUCUGUUUAGGCAGCAGGCAAGGAGAACCCCCUGGGCAUUAUACUUGGACAGAGGUGACAUCCCCCAGGUAGUGAGUGCAAAGAACUAAUGCUGCAGCUGUCUUCCAUGUAUCUGCCACUCACUGUAGAAUGACCCUGAAGUUCUGCAUUUCUGCUCUGUGUGGGUCAGGCACAAGAAGCUUCAUCUCUUAUCCCGUGUCUGAUUCCUGAAACCUUGCUCAUUUUCCUGCUGUCCUCCCUAUUCCCAGCCUCCUUUCUUCUUUCGCUUUAUCCUCCACUAAGGACAUUGAUUGCUUUCCUUUCUCUGUUGGUUCUCCCCACCCCUCAUUCCAUUGUGCCUUGUACCCAUACUGCCCACUACCUCCCUUUAUUGCUGUCAUCUGUCCUGGUGGCCAGUCACACUCAUGCCAACACUUACUUAUUCCUUGAAGGUUUUAGCUCCUGGCUCACUUUCCAACAUAACUCCUGUCAUCAGUUGACACCCAGUUCCCCAGUUCCUUGACCUAGGCCUUACGUACCCCAGCCACUCACUUCCCUGGUCUAAGUCUAGAUCUUGUCAUUGCUGAUGCCAUAACGCCAUCCACCAUCCACUUCCAGGGUCACACUCUCCAAUCACCUUCUACCACCCCUCCCUCUGUUACUCUGUGGUACAUGUUACUCCACUUCCCCACUGCCCAUCCCCUUUCAUGUUUCUUUCCUCUUUAAUUCUUACACCUCUUUUUUUUUUUUUUUUUUUUUGAGAGAGUCUCAAUCUGUCACCCAGGCUGCAGUGCAGUGGCACAAUCCUCUCACUGCAACCUCCGCCUCUCAGAUUCAAGCGAUUCUCCUGCCUCAGCCUCCUGAGUAGCUGGGAUUAUAGGCAUGCACCACCAUGCCCGGCUAAUUUUUGUAUUUUUAGUAGAGACACAGUUUCACUAUGUUGGCCAGGCUGGUCUCAAACUCCUGACCUCAUGAUCCGCCCGCCUCGGCCUCCCAAAGUGCUGGGAUUAAGGCAUAAGCCACCGUGCCUGGCCUCUUGAAGACUCUUAAGUCAUUUUUGGGAAUCAAUGAAUUAACUACAGAAGAUUUCCCAGGAUGAUGAAAUAGCAAAUCAUUUCAAGAUGCAGAAGAAGUAAGACCGCUAAGAUCCCACAAUAUGUCUUGGAUUUUUGGAAAGAGAAAAGCAGAACCAGAAGUGGGUCUGGGAUUCACAGCCAGGCCAUACCCCAUGUCCUGGCUAAUAGGAUCGACUGCUGCUACUUUAGCCAAUUACGGCUUUGGCCUUCCUCUACUCUUCCCUCCUUCUUGGUGAAAUUUGUUAAGAUCCUCAAUCAUAGAAUUACCCCCACUUCCUGAGAGCAUCCCAGAGAAAGGACUCCUCAAACCACCUAACACAUGCCCAAAUCCUGUAAUAAACCAUCCCUGACACCCUCUUACUUAUUUGCCCCACAGUUCCCCGUGGCAUGCAAAACGUUCUCCCUCAAAGCUAACUCAUGUCAUGACAGGUGUGUUCCUGGUGGCCUUUGGCUGGAUGGUGCUGACAGGUUAUAAGAGGGCCUACCAAUAGAUCUAUAUGGUCAUUGCAAGACAUAAUGAGUUUUAUUCUGUUUAAAAAGGGAAGAAAACGGUAGAGCAUGGUGGCUCACGCAUGUAAUCCCAGCACUUUGAGAGGUAGAGGUGGGCAGAUCACUUGAUGUCAGGCGUUUGAGGCCAGUCUGGCCAACAUGGUGAAAUCCUGUCUCUACUGGAAAUGUUGCAGGAUUCAGGAGGACGAGAGAGACCUCAGGUUGAAACUAGAAUCUUUAUUGAGUGCACUCAGGCCCAGCUGACUCAACGUCCAAAAGACUGGGCCCGGAACAAAGACAGCAUCUGACUUUUAUACAUACUUCACAGAAGGUGGUGGGCUAGCUUGAAGCAAGCUUACAGUGGUGUGAAAAGCAGCAAUACAGAGGCAGGACAAAGACAGGAUUGCACAUGACUGUUGCCAAGUAACCCAGAUGUCCGUUAUCUAGGUUUGUCUGGGCAUGGGCUUAUCCUAUAACCUUCACUAUGGUGCCCAGGCAGCUGUAGUUCAGGCCUACUCAGGCUUCUCAUGACCUUCGUUGUACUUCUUAGAUAAAACAGAAUAUUUGAAGUCACUGGUUACAUGUAGGCGGAAACCUACCCAGGUGCUGAGGCAAGAGACUGAGGGCACAACCUGUUCCAAUAUAGUAAAGAAAAUAGUUAGAAUAAGAAAAGUUAUAUUAGAAGUAGGAAAUAGAGCUGGAUGCAGUGGCUCCCAGCACUUUGGGAGGCCAAGGUGGGCGGAUCACGAGGUCAGGAGAUUGAGACCAUCCUGGCUAACAGGGUGAAACCCUGUCUCUACUAAAAAUACAAAAACAAAAAAUUAGCUAGGCAUGGUGGCAGGCGCCUGUAGUCCCAGCUACUCAGGAGGCUGAGGCGAGAGAAUGGUAUGAAUCCAGGAGGUGGAGCUUGCAGUGAGCUGAGAUCACGCCACUGCACUCCAGCCUGGGCGACAGAGUGAAACUCCAUGUCAAAAAAAAAAAAAAAAAGAAAAAGAAAUAGGAUAUAGAGAUGAUUAUAUAUGGAUAUUAUCAAUCAUUAGUUUUUAGUAUUAAUCUCUGUAUUAUUAUUAUAACCGAGGAAAGACCAGCCAAUACAGAGUCAGGAGCUGAAGGGACAUUGUGAGAAGUGAGCAGAAGAUAAGAGUGAAAGUCCUCUAUCACAUCCUGAUAAAGGCCGCUUGAGGACACCUUGGUCUAGCGGUAGCGCCAGUGCCUGGGAAGGCACCCGUUACUUAGCGGACCGGGAAAGGGAGUUUCCCUUUCCUUGGGGGAAGUUAGAGAACACUCUGCUCCACCAGCUCUAGUGGGAGGUCUGACAUUAUCCAGCCCUGCUCGCAGUCAUCUGGAGGACUAAACCCCUCCCUGUGGUGCUGUGCUUCAGUGGCCACGCUCCUUUCCACUUUCAUGUUCUGCCUGUACACCUGGUUCCUCUUUUAAGUUCCUAGAAGAUAGCAGUAGCAGAAUUAGUGAAAGUAUUAAAGUCUUUGAUCUCUCUGAUAAGUGCAUAGAAAAAAUGCUGACAUAUGUGGUCCUCUCUCUGCUUCUGCUACCACAAAGAAGACCCCCAUGUGAUUUGCUUGACCUUAUCAAUCACUUGGGAUGACUCACUCUCCUUACCCUGCCCCCUUGCCUUGUAUACAAUAAAUAGCAGCACCUUCAGGCAUUCGGGGCCACUACUGGACUCCGUGCAUUGAUGGUAGUGGCCCCCUGGGCCCAGCUGUCUUUCCUACUAUCUCUUAGUCUCGUGUCAUAUUUUUCUACCGUCUCUCGUCUCUGCACACGAAGAGAACAACCCGCAAGGCCCAGUAGGGCUGGACCCUACAGUUACAGAGAACAGGAAUCUAUAAACUCAUUCCAUAAAACAAAGGAAAAUUUGUUUUUCUUCUCCUUAUGUUGAGGGAUUGCUGAGAGAGUCUCCAGAGCACAUUAGAUAAUAUUAUCAAGACUUUUCCUGGGUCUGGGCUGUGCCCGUUGCUGCCUCUGGGACAAGUCGGCCUAAUACAUGAAAAUUUAUUUCUCUUUCUUUUUAAUUUUAUUUUUCUUUAAUUUCCCACCUUAAAACCACAAAAAUUAGCCGGGCAUGGUGGUGCAUGCCUGUAAACCCAGCCACUUGGGAGGCUGAGGUGGGAGAAUCUCUUGAAACCUGGAGGCAGAGGCCGCAGUGAGUCAAGAUCGUGCCACUGCAUUUCAGCCUGAGCAACAGAGUGAGACUCCAUCUCAAAAAAAAAAAAGCGGGGGGGAGGAGAGGGGGGGAAGAAAGAAACUUAUUUAUUUCAUUGGAAGACCUGUAAAAGAACAAAGGUCAUGAAAUAUCAGUAUGUACAUCUAGAAUUGCUCCAAAAAGAAACGGAAAUGAAUGGGGGCUCGGGGUGGGAAGAAGAAUGGAUUAGUCAGCUAUAACUUUGGGUCCAAGGGACCCUGGUGGUAUAGUGGGGGUUAACUUUGCAAUCACUGACUCAGGUGAGCCUCUUAGUGUUGAGAAGUGAAAUCAUCCUGUUUCCCUAAUGUAUAGAUCUUACAUUUUCCAG
rnacentral:lncRNA from 1 species